rnacentral:tmRNA from 1 species
GCUAUGGUAAUAAAUGGACAAUGAAAUAAGCUUAUUGGACCCGGGGGCGGUACCCGGCGCCUCCACCAAAAUGUAAUAAAAAGUUAUGCUUUGAUGGGGGCGAAAUAGGAUCGACAAGAGUGUAAAGAUUGCUCUUUUACUCGGCAUAGUACCACCGUUAUCGGGCUAAAUGAGUAGUUGCAAAUGACAACUAUGUGGAAACACGUCUCGCUGCUUAAUGUGGUGUGAAUGUUUCGAAUUGAGUCUUAAAUCGUCACGGAUUUAAGCGGGGUUUGGAGGCACCUAGCAACAGAAGC